rnacentral:snoRNA from 1 species
ACACCUGAUGAUCACAUGUAUUUCGCUGUGUUCUUUCCGAAUCCUUUAUGUUGAACAUAUACAUCACCUUGGAGAACUGAUGU